AUUGAACGCUGGCGGCAGGCCUAACACAUGCAAGUCGGACGGUAGCACAGAGGAGCUUGCUCCUCGGGUGACGAGUGGCGUACGGGUGAGUAAUGUCUGGGGAUCUGCCCGAUAGAGGGGGAUAACCACUGGAAACGGUGGCUAAUACCGCAUAACGUCGCAAGACCAAAGAGGGGGACCUUCGGGCCUCACACUAUCGGAUGAACCCAGAUGGGAUUAGCUAGUAGGCGGGGUAACGGCCCACCUAGGCGACGAUCCCUAGAUGGUCUGAGAGGAUGACCAGCCACACUGGAACUGAGACACGGUCCAGACUCCUACGGGAGGCAGCAGUGGGGAAUAUUGCACAAUGGGCGCAAGCCUGAUGCAGCCAUGCCGCGUGUAUGAAGAAGGCCUUCGGGUUGUAAAGUACUUUCAGCGGGGAGGAAGGCGAUGUGGUUAAUAACCGCAUUGAUUGACGUUACCCGCAGAAGAAGCACCGGCUAACUCCGUGCCAGCCGCCGCCGUAACAC
rnacentral:rRNA from 1 species